rnacentral:rRNA from 1 species
UACAGAGGGGCAAGCGUUGUUCGGAAUUACUGGGCGUAAAGGGCGCGUAGGCGGCCUGCUAAGUCGAACGUGAAAUCCCUGGGCUCAACCCAGGAACUGCGUCCGAUACUGGUUGGCUUGAAUCCGGGAGAGGGAUGUGGAAUUCCAGGUGUAGCGGUGAAAUGCGUAGAUAUCUGGAGGAACACCGGUGGCGAAGGCGACAUCCUGGACCGGUAUUGACGCUGAGGCGCGAAAGCCAGGGGAGCAAGCGGG